AAAACUGAUUCCAUACCAACAGGGAAGGACAUCAAACGCGGAAGUUAGAAAACAGACGGACUGCCAGACUCCAUUUUAAACUUCAACAGAGCAGCAGAAAGAAAACAGGGGAAGGACAUCAAACGCGGAAGUUAGAAAACAGACGGACUGCCAGACUCCAUUUUAAACUUCAACAGAGCAGCAGAAAGAAAACAGGGGUUACUGGUUCAUCUCUCACAAUGGAGACCAUGAGAGAUGAGGAGGAGGACAGAUCUUCAGUGUCCAGAAAACCCUCUGACACAAAACAGAGAGCAGAGUCUCCAGUCCCCAGCUGUCUGUCUAUG